CCAGGGACGGAAGCUGAGGCGGACCGGAAGUCGCUUGUGCGCGUGCUCCGCGGCGGAGGAAGGCGGAGGUGGGGGUCCAGGCCGCCUGAGGGGAGCUCUUGUUGCUGGUUGCUGGGUUUUGGGGCUGCGGGAGACUUUGGCUGUUGGUUUAGUGCCAUGCAUCCUUUACAGUGUGUCCUGCAAGCACAGAGAUGGGGCUCCUUGGCUUCUGUGUCCUGGCUGCUGUUCAGGACCUGCAGGGCACAGAGUAGUGUCCACGGCACCACAUGUCCCGGUCCAGAGAGGCAGCAGGAAAAUGGAGUUCAGAAGGAUUUCAGCUCUAGGCUGGCUGCUGGCCCGACUUUUCAGCAUUUUUUAAGAAGUGCUUUAGAUCCUCAAGAGAAGCCUGACGUGGAGGACCCACCCCCCUAUCUCACAGUGGAUGAACUUUCUGGGAGGCAGAGAAAAGUCUACCUGGAGACCUAUGGCUGUCAGAUGAAUGUGAAUGACACAGAGAUAGCCUGGUCUGUCUUACAGAAGAGUGGCUACCUGCGCACCAGGAACCUCCAAGAGGCUGAUGUGAUCCUCCUUGUCACAUGUUCUAUCAGGGAGAAGGCUGAACAGACCAUCUGGAAUCGUUUACAUCAGCUUAAAGCCCUGAAGACAAAACGGCUCCGCUCCCGAGUGCCUCUGAGGAUUGGGAUUCUAGGCUGCAUGGCUGAGAGAUUGAAGGAGGAGAUCCUCAACAGGGAGAAAAUGGUGGAUAUUUUGGCUGGUCCAGAUGCCUAUCGGGACCUUCCUCGGCUGCUGGCUGUUGCCGAGUCAGGUCAACAAGCUGCCAAUGUGCUGCUCUCUCUGGAUGAGACCUAUGCUGAUGUCAUGCCAGUCCAGACAAGCCCCAGUGCUACAUCAGCCUUCGUGUCUAUCAUGCGAGGCUGUGACAAUAUGUGCAGCUACUGCAUCGUCCCUUUCACUCGUGGACGGGAGAGGAGUCGGCCUGUUGCUUCCAUUCUAGAGGAAGUGAGGAAGCUUUCUGAGCAGGGGCUGAAAGAAGUGACACUCCUUGGUCAGAAUGUUAAUAGUUUUCGGGACAGUUCAGAGGUCCAGUUCAACAAUGCAGUGUCUACCAACCUCAGCCGUGGCUUCUCCACCAACUAUAAACCCAAGCAAGGAGGCCUUCGUUUUGCUCACCUUCUGGAUCAUGUCUCCAGAGUAGAUCCUGAAAUGAGGAUCCGUUUCACUUCUCCCCACCCCAAAGACUUUCCUGAUGAGGUUCUGCAGCUGAUUCAUGAGAGAGACAACAUCUGUAAACAGAUCCACCUACCAGCCCAGAGUGGAAGCAGCCGUGUAUUGGAGGCCAUGCGGAGGGGAUAUUCAAGAGAAGCUUAUGUGGAGUUAGUUCAUCAUAUCAGAGAAUCUAUUCCAGGUGUGAGCCUCAGCAGCGAUUUCAUUGCUGGCUUUUGUGGUGAGACAGAGGAAGAUCACCUCCAGACGGUGUCUUUGCUUCGGGAAGUUCAGUAUAACAUGGGCUUCCUCUUUGCCUACAGUAUGAGACAGAAGACCAGGGCAUAUCACAGGCUGAAAGAUGAUGUUCCAGAAGAGGUGAAAUUAAGGCGUUUGGAGGAACUUAUUACUGUCUUUCGAGAAGAAGCAACAAAAGCCAACAUGGCCUCUGUGGGUUGUACCCAGCUAGUGCUGGUGGAGGGGCACAGUAAACGCUCUGCCACUGACCUGUGUGGCCGGAAUGAUGGAAACCUUAAAGUGAUCUUCCCUAAUGUAGAGAUGGAGGAUGUUUCUAACUCAGGGGUCAGGGUUAGAGCUCAGCCUGGGGACUAUGUGCUGGUGAAGAUUACGUCCACCAGUUCUCAGACACUUAAAGGACAUGUUCUCUGCAGGACCACCCUGAAGGACUCCUCAGCAUAUUGCUGACCUGAGUGGAUGGCCUUAGAGUUGACAUGGGCUGUCCUUCCUGACAGGAAGGGAGAUAGGACUGGUCACUAAAGAAAGAGACAAGGGCUUUCGAGGCAGCCAUGUCCAGGGAAGGCAGAAGACUUAACAACUACCUACAAGGCACUGAGCAGAAGGUGCAUCUAUUUGGGUGUGGACCGAUCGAAUAUUAGCAGGCAACACAAUGAUAAGGAAACUGAGUCUUGAAGAGGCUUAUCAACUUAUCUCCAGUCGCACAGAUGCUGAUUUUGACUUGAAGAAUUAACUAAUAUCCAUAAAGCACUUCACCAGGGCUGGCUGCAGAAUGGGAGCUUCAUAAAUGCCACUUCCUCUCUCCCUAACUCUCCUUCCUGGAAGAUUUCCUUCCAGUUUAUUAAGAAGACACAAUCCGCCAAGCUCUGAGUCUCAGAGUCAAAAACUUAAGGAGUCUGGGUGAAGCCUCCUUGGGACUUCAUCACAACCAGUUGGAUGCAGAGAGAGAAAAAUGGAGAACUCACAAAUUUCCGGAUUGGAUCCAUACAGUCUCAGGAACAAUCCUGCAAUGCCCAAAGGUUCCCCUGGUUUGCACAGGACUCUCAAAAUCACCCUGUUGAGAUCAUUUCCUCAUCUUUCAAAAGAGAUAAUUCAGGACUGGAGAAUGGGAAUGGCUUUCUCCAAGUCGGCCAUCCAGCCAGUGGAUAAGCCAGGAGGCAUUGGUGGUGAUGUGCACUGGCUUCAGAGACAGACAGGCCUGGGAUGGAAUCCCAGCUCUGCCCCCUACUACUGGCUGGACAAUCUGGGCAAUGCAGAGUUUUGCCCAGAUGAGGCAAUUUCCUCAUCUGGAAAAUGUGGAUGAUACACACCCAUACCUUCCUCUCAGCCUUGUCGUGCUGCGCCCCAGAGAGCACUCGUGUGUGCGUCUACCCUCAGACCCCACCAGAGUGUGGAGGCAAACAUACCCGCCUGUGAUUACUCUCCACGAAGCAGGCAGAUCCUGAAGUGUAUCUUAAACCUGAAAAAGUGGCUUUGGAGCAAAUUCAUUAUACAGGAGAGGAAAGUGGAGGACAGAUAAGUGGGAGAUGAGGGUACAGGGUCCGAGGGUCCCAGGAAACCUCACUGGUAGCACCCAUUGCCUCUGGGCCCUGAAGGGCUUAUAGCUCGUCAGCGGCCUGGUAUUGUGCAUCUUACGGGAAUGCUGUGGCCCUACUUACCGGAUAGAAGAUGGCCCCAGCUUCAGCAGCCAGCGACAAUGCUCAAACCCUCGGCUGUACGGCAGACCUACCUCCUGAUGGGGGCGCCAUGUUCACAGCCCGGUCUUCCCCCACUGGAGCUCCAUUCCUUUGGUUCAGUUCUUAGAGACUCCCCUGCCAUAACCAGCCCCAUGCUGACCUACCUUCCUGGAGAGGUACUCCGUCUUCCAGCACAUCCAAGCCCAAGCCCAACAAAGGGACUGUUGGCAGUUCGGCUGUGGCAGAUCAAGUGACGGUCUCUCAAGAUGGGGCCAGAGUUCCACAGUGACUCUCCAGGGUUUAAACAUCCUUACUGGAGUCUGACAGGAUGCCAUGCCGAUCCUGCAGAUAGGAGGACCACUGGGCCUCUGCAACUGGCAGCAAAGAGAGACAUGAAAAGUUGUCACUGUGAAGCAGGCCUGUAGUAGCACAUGGGAGAGGACAAGAGCGGAGGCCGGAGAGGCCCCUGGAAAAACCAUGGCCACUACAGGCCUCUCCGGCCUUCGGCCUUGUCCUCUCCCAUGUCCCCGACACUCAUCGCUGAAGGAAAGGCUUUCGGAAACUGUGCAUAUUUUACAGGGGGGACAGGAGAGGCCCAGAGAGAGGAAAGGUCUGGUAUAAGGUCACCUGGAGAGCUAGUAGCUGAACUGUGGCUUGAACUCAGUUCUCAGGAUGCCGAGGCCAGGGCUUUCUCUGGCCAUCUUCCCUGGCCUUCGCCACAACCAUGGAGAAAUCCCAGGGAAGUCACUAGAGGCCUCUCAGAUGAGUCAGGCCAUUCCUGGCUCUACAGGGCGACUACAGGCUGCCCCUUCCUGCUUGAAGGGGAUCGUGUCUCCUCCCCUGUCUUUUGCUGGGGACCCAAUCUUGGUGAGAAACCUAGAGGAGACGGAGGUGGGCUGAGGCAAGCUAUGAUGAUAGUCCUGAAGUCUGGCCAGGACAGCUCUCCUUUGUCCACUGCUCCUGUCUCCUCCCUUCCUUCCCCCACCCCUCAGCAUAGGGGAUUUGGGAAAUAGAAUGAAAACACAAUGAUGUAAUAAAAAAACAAAAACAAACAACAACAACAACAACAACAACAAAACCUUCCUGAGGUGCCUGGGUGGCUCAGUCAGUUGAGUGUCCAACUUUUGAUUUCAGCUCAGGUCAUGAUCUCACCGUUCAUGGGUUUGAAGCCUGUGUUGGGUUCUGCACUGACAACAUGGUGCCUGCUUGGAAUAUUCUCUCUCCCCCUCUCUCUGCCCUUUCCCUGCUCACUCUUUCUCUCCCUCUCAAAAUAAAGAAUAAAAUAAAACUUAAAAAAAAAAACUCCUUUAAGACUCAGAGAUCACUUGGCUUUAUUGGAGAGCUUCUCACAAUAGAGUUGUGCAAUAUCCCGGGAAUCUCACCACGAUACUUUUCACCAAAGUGAGACAGCCUGGAAACUUACAUAUAAUACUAAGAACAACCUCACUUUAACACCAAGAGAAUGGGCUAGCCCAGAAACCCAACGGUAAUACCUUCACUAUGGAAUGAGAUAUCCCGAUAGCUGACCACAACAGUGAAAUAUUUGAGGAACCCCAUGAUAGAAGUCUUCCCUAUGGGGUAGGAUAUUCCGGGAACCCCACAACACUGAUCAUUAUGGAGUAGAGAAUUUCAGCAAUUUCCCUGAAGUACUAUUACAGAGUGAGUGAAUUUCUUGACAAUACUCUUCACCAUGGAGUAGGUUAGUUCAGGAGCUCUAUCUCAAUGCUGAUGCCUGUGGAGUGGGCUCUCCCCAGAACUCCGCUCCUACAUUGAUCAUUAUGGAAUGGGCUGCUUCAGGAAAAUCUAUAACAAGGAUCACGAUGGAAUAGGAGAACCUAGAAUUCAAAUCUGACAUUAAUCACUAUGGAGCAGGCUAUCUCAGGAACCCCAUUGGUCCCUGUGGCAUUGCUUAUCCAAAAACCCAGCUUUAGUGCUCCUUAUGGAUCAAAAUAUGGAUUCUGUGUCAGGGAGGCUCUUCAUGGCCCCAGAGCCCAUGCUUUCAGAGCCCUUGAGAAAGGACUGCUCGACACUGAAGAAGGCAAUGAGGUUGGGAAACAAUGGGGGUGGAGAUGAGAAGAAAAAACUUACUUUCAAUCAGCCGGUUAGUGAAAGAGGCCGGGAAGUGUCUGUCCUGGGAAACACCGGAAAGCCUCCAUUAAUUGAGCACCAUCUGCAUGCCAGGCCCCAAGCCUCUCAUUUGAUCCUUACAACAAACUUGCCAUAGAGGGAUUAUAGACAAGAAAAAGGAGGCUUGGAGACGUGAACUGCUUUGCCCAGGUCUUACAGUGAGCUGGCGGCAGAGCUGUUCCUACAAUCUGGAUUCCCAACUCUGAGUCUGGGCAGUUGAGUGCUGGAAGGCAUGGGGGCUGUUGUUCCCAAGGUCCCUGAAGGUCCUACUUUGUGGAACAAAUCAUGUUCCUCAUAAUCAGAACUUCCCAUGAGCCGGGGUGCUGGCUGGACCAUGUUCAUGUUUAGAAGAAGCUCAGAAGAGAGGGAUGCAGGAGAGGCCACCAUGGGCCACUCCCCCAGCAUGGACCACUUCUCCACCGUGGACCACUUCUCCAGCCUGGACCCCACAUAUUGUGAUCCUAAGUAACUAACCCGAUUGUUUAUUUUAUGGAUAUAAAUCUAGGGGAAAGGGGAAUAAACCACUAAGUUUUGAAUCUCUA